rnacentral:rRNA from 1 species
CCUACGGGUGGCAGCAGUGAGGAAUAUUGGUCAAUGGGCGUAAGCCUGAACCAGCCAAGUCGCGUGAGGGAUGAAGGUUCUAUGGAUCGUAAACCUCUUUUAUAAGGGAAUAAAGUGUGGGACGUGUCCUAUUUUGUAUGUACCUUAUGAAUAAGGAUCGGCUAACUCCGUGCCAGCAGCCACGGUAAUUCGGAGGAUCCGAGCGUUAUCCGGAUUUAUUGGGGUUAAAGGGGGCGUAGGCGGCCUUUUAAGUCAGCGGUGAAAGUCUGUGGCUCAACCAUAGAAUUGCCGUUGAAACUGGGGGGCUUGAGUGUGUUUGAGGCAGGCGGAAUGCGUGGUGUAGCGGUGAAAUGCUUAGAUAUCACGCAGAACCCCGAUUGCGAAGGCAGCCUGCCAGGCCAUGACUGACGCUGAUGCACGAAAGCGUGGGGAUCAAACAGGAUUAGAUACCCCAGUAGUC